UAGGGAAUAUUGCGCAAUGGACGAAAGUCUGACGCAGCGACACCGUGUGAAGGAUGAAGGUCCUCGGAUUGUAAACUUCUGUCAAUUGGAGACGAAGGUACUUAGGGUUAAUAGCCUUAAGUAUUGACGGUACCCAAUAAGGAGGUCUCGGCUUACUCCGUGCCAGCAGCCGCGGUAAGACGGGGGAGGCAAGCGUUGUCCGGAAUUAUUGGGCGUAAAGAGCGCGUAGGUGGUUUAUCAAGUCAUUUGUGAAAACUUUAGGCUUAACUUAAAGAUUGCAAGUGAUACUGGUAUACUUGAGCACAGCAGAGGAAAGUGGAAUUCCUGGUGUAGCGGUGAAAUGCGCAGAUAUCAGGAAGAACACCAGUGGCGAAGGCGGCUUUCUGGGCUGUUGCUGACACUGAGGCGCGAAAGCUAGGGGAGCGAACAG
rnacentral:rRNA from 1 species